GUCCUUGUAGUUUAAUAAAAACAUUAGUUUUGUAAACUAAAAUUGCCUUACCCAAAGACU
rnacentral:tRNA from 1 species